rnacentral:tRNA from 1 species
AUUUUAGUGGCUGAUUAUAGGCGUAAGAUUGUAAAUUUUAUAAUGAUUUUUCCUAGGCCG